UACGAAGGGGGCUAGCGUUGCUCGGAAUCACUGGGCGUAAAGCGCACGUAGGCGGAUCUUUAAGUCAGGGGUGAAAUCCCGAGGCUCAACCUCGGAACUGCCUUUGAUACUGGGGAUCUCGAGUCCGGAAGAGGUUGGUGGAACUCCGAGUGUAGAGGUGAAAUUCGUAGAUAUUCGGAAGAACACCAGUGGCGAAGGCGGCCAACUGGUCCGGUACUGACGCUGAGGUGCGAAAGGCGUGGG
rnacentral:rRNA from 1 species